rnacentral:rRNA from 1 species
UACGUAGGGUGCGAGCGUUGUCCGGAAUUAUUGGGCGUAAAGAGCUUGUAGGCGGUCUGUCGCGUCUGCUGUGAAAAUCCGGGGCUCAACCCCGGACUUGCAGUGGGUACGGGCAGACUAGAGUGUGGUAGGGGAGACUGGAAUUCCUGGUGUAGCGGUGAAAUGCGCAGAUAUCAGGAGGAACACCGAUGGCGAAGGCAGGUCUCUGGGCCACUACUGACGCUGGAGAAAGCG